rnacentral:lncRNA from 1 species
GAUCUUCAAAGUUCAUCUCUCUAGACUUUAGACUACCAAUUAAGUCGUCCAGCCGUAGAGAUGAUGUGUCUUUGGCCUCCUCAAUAGCAGUAACCGUCAUGCUGAAUCUUUCUGGGAGAGUUCUCAAUACCUUAUUCACCAGUGUCUCAUUGCUUAAAGGACCACCUAAGGAUUGAAAUUCAUUAGCUAAAUCAAUCAAUUUCUCAUUGUACUGAGAAAUUGUUUCAGUUUCUUCCAUUCUCAGUC